rnacentral:lncRNA from 1 species
CCGUCUUGGGCUGAGUAGAACUCCGUGCAAAGCUAUAGAAGGUUCAUUAUUCCGACUUCCGACGAAUUGAAGGCACCGAAGAGGAAAAAGACAAUACGCAACACUCCUGCCCAUGAACUCGUAAUUGAAAGGAAAAUGCGAUUAUGAAGAUUGAGCCUGUCUUCGGUUCGUACCCGAAUAAUUUUCUCGACAUUCCACUGUCUGUCCA